GGAGGUUUAGCUCAGUUGGGAGAGCGUCUGCCUUACAAGCAGAGGGUCAGCGGUUCGAGCCCGUUAACCUCCA
rfam:Erysipelotrichaceae bacterium NYT-BL-A4 NODE_36_length_19537_cov_193.631_ID_71, whole genome shotgun sequence.